rnacentral:rRNA from 1 species
AGAACGAACGCUGGCGGCAUGCCUAACACAUGCAAGUCGAACGGGACCUUCGGGUCUAGUGGCGCACGGGUGCGUAACGCGUGGGAAUCUGCCCUUGGGUUCGGGACAACGGCGGGAAACUGCCGCUAACACCGGAUACGGCCUUCAGCGAUGGAGGCGAAAGGUUACGCCCUGUGAUGGGCCCACGUCCGAUUAGCUUGUUGGUGAGGUAACGGCUCACCAAGGCUGCGAUCGGUAGCCGGUCUGAGAGGAUGAUCGGCCACACUGGGACUGAGACACGGCCCAGACUCCUACGGGAGGCAGCAGUGGGGAAUCUUGGACAAUGGGGGCAACCCUGAUCCAGCGACGCCGCGUGGGUGAUGAAGGCCUUCGGGUUGUAAAGCCCUUUUGUCGGGACGAUGAUGACGGUACCGGCGAAUAAGCACCGGCUAACUCCGUGCCAGCAGCCGC